rnacentral:misc_RNA from 1 species
GUGAAUCAUCGAAUCUUUGAACGCAAAUUGCACUCCCUGGUAUUCCGGGGAGUAUGCCUGUUUGAGGGUCAGCCUAUAAAAAAUCGACAUCGUUGCUGUUUCGCGGUGGCGUUCGUCGGAAAUUGGGCCAUCUUAAAUCCUUUUGGUUUUUAAGCUACUUAAAAUUUUCUUUUUGGUUCCAUGAACGUUUCUCAGAUUUAUUUCUUUACACGUUUAAGGUAUCGAUUUUUAUUAGACGUGACCAUCAUAUCGGAUCGCGUCCAUCUUCUUUCUUUCACUGACCUCCGACCGGUAACA